rnacentral:rRNA from 1 species
CGGUGAAUACGUUCCCGGGCCUUGUACACACCGCCCGUCAAGCCAUGGAAGCUGGGGGUACCUGAAGUAUGUCACCGCAAGGAGCGUCCUAGGGUAAAACCGGUAACUGGGGCU